rnacentral:rRNA from 1 species
CACGUAGGCGGAUCGUUAAGUCGGGGGUGAAAUCCUGAGGCUCAACCUCGGAACUGCCUUCGAUACUGGCGAUCUUUGAGUCCGGGAGAGGUGAGUGGAACUCCGAGUGUAGAGGUGAAAUUCGUAGAUAUUCGGAAGAACACCAGUGGCGAAGGCGGCUCACUGGCCCGGUACUGACGCUGAGGUGCGAAAGCGUGGGGAGCAAACA